rnacentral:rRNA from 1 species
UACGUAGGGUGCAAGCGUUUAAUCGGAAUUACUGGGCGUAAAGCGUGCGCAGGCGGUUUUGUAAGUCUGACGUGAAAUCCCCGGGCUUAACCUGGGAAUGGCAUUGGUGACUGCACGGCUAGAGUGUGUCAGGAGGGGGUAGAAUUCCACGUGUAGCAGUGAAAUGCGUAGAGAUGUGGAGGAAUACCGAUGGCGAAGGCAGCCCCCUGGGAUAACACUGACGCUCAUGCACGAAAGCCGUGGGGAGCAAACAGG